GACGAACGCUGGCGGCGUGCCUAACACAUGCAAGUCGAACGGAGAUGCUGAUGAGGAGACUUCGGUCAACGAGUUAGUAUUCUUAGUGGCGGACGGGUGAGUAACGCGUGAGCAAUCUGCCUUUCAGAGGGGGAUAACGUUCUGAAAAGAACGCUAAUACCGCAUAACGUAUGAUGGUGGCAUCACCGACAUACCAAAGGAGCAAUCCGCUGAGAGAUGAGCUCGCGUCUGAUUAGAUAGUUGGUGGGGUAACGGCCUACCAAGUCGACGAUCAGUAGCCGGACUGAGAGGUUGAACGGCCACAUUGGGACUGAGACACGGCCCAAACUCCUACGGGAGGCAGCAGUGGGGAAUAUUGCACAAUGGGGGAAACC
rnacentral:rRNA from 1 species